rnacentral:lncRNA from 1 species
GUCGAGAUGGCUAAUCAGUAUUGAGGCUCGAGGGCACUCGGGCAGCUUUUCAAUGCGGUUUUCCUUUCAUCUCAAGCUGGAUGGAGGCGCUCAAUUAAAAGCCUAUCAGUUUGUCAGGCUGGCGAGCUGCAAACCCUGGUCAGGAUCACCCAAAAAACCCGGACUGACUAUUUUUCCCUCGGGAGAGCGAACUGCAGAAACCUCGACACCAGCGUGCCUGCUCUGAGAGCUUGCUCUCUUGCCAUUUAAGUGUCAGCUUCUGUAGAUCAUGUUGGAAAAGGGCGUUUAGUCUUUUAAACGGAACAGCAGCAACCCUACAGGCCCUUUAGUUUAGCUUUUUUGUUUGUUUGUUUUUUCCUUCUCCCCCCCUUUAUUUUCUAUCUUUUCGAACAAGACUAAGAUGUUAAUUAGCAGAAGCAGAGUUGCUGAGUUGUGUCUGGGUUGUGUUUCUGUGUGUAACACAAUUCAGUUACAUGUCUGUCCAUCCGGUGCGUCAAAUUUAUUUCCUUUGAUAGUACUUACAUUUCACUAUCUGCCCCAAGGUUUUUAUUAAGAUAUACAUUGCAAUACAUUUUUGUAGAUGGUGCAUCUUCUUUCUUUUUAUUUUUAUUUCUCACACGAAUGAUAGUACUUCAUAUAAGAAGAUAAGAAAUGUGAUGGGUGAUCAGAAAUACACCACCACAAUUUGGUACAUUUGGAGAGAGGCUUUUUUCCCUUUUUAUUUUUAUUUUUUUUUUAAUGCGAGACUGCAUGUGCUCAGCUAAUAACUGAUGUGUCUGCCCAGGUAUCCAGCAGAGGUGAGGGGUAUUUAUUCCAGAAUAUUGUUAAAGUGAAUAGUUGGAAAGCUUGCCAACAUGAAGUAAGAUUUCCAAACCUCUCCCCUGUUCGCAUAGUACCUGAAAAUAUUUACCCUUAUGAUUGUAAUUACUUUCCUAACACAUAGAAGCAAUAUAUAUUUUACUCUGCAUGAGAUGUAGGUAAUCGUUUUAUAAGCGGUGAUAAUUUCAGAGCCAUCUUCAAAAUAAUAGUCACGUUUAAGCUAACGUGAAUUUUAGAAGUCAGUGGCAUUUUUACUAAACGAGCAGAAAAUCACUUUUGUUUGCUUGUUUGGCUGGUUGCUUACUGCUUUCGGAAACAUAGCUUCACCUAGAAUGUUUUCAAAUGCGUUUGUCUAAUUUUGUUCCUUUAGUUACACCGAGAUAAGGAAGAGAUUAAUGCACCUAAUAAUAAAAAGACCCCACCCCAAACUCUUUUUAGCCCU